rnacentral:rRNA from 1 species
CUCAGAGCGAACGCUGGCGGCGUGCCUAACACAUGCAAGUCGAACGUGAAAGGGGGCAACCCUGAGUAAAGUGGCGUACGGGUGAGUAACACGUAGGUAAUCUACCCCAGAGUCUGGAAUAACCUGCCGAAAGGCGGGCUAAUACUGGAUAGAGCGACGGAAUCCGUAAUUGGGUUUUUCGGGAAAGGGAGGAAGCAACUCCCUUCGCUCUGGGAUGAGCCUGCGUCUCAUUAGCUAGUUGGUGGGGUAAAGGCCUACCAAGGCAUUGAUGGGUAGCUGGUCUGAGAGGAUGAUCAGCCACACUGGAACUGAAACACGGUCCAGACUCCUACGGGAGGCAGCAGUGGGGAAUCUUGCGCAAUGGACGAAAGUCUGACGCAGCCACGCCGCGUGAAGUGAAGAAGGCCUUCGGGUUGUAAAGCUCUGUCGGACGGGACGAAAAUGCUUAGGGUGAAUAGCCCUAGGAACUGACGGUACCGUCAAAGGAAGCACCGGCUAACUUCGUGCCAGCAGCCGC